CUAUUUUUUAUGUUUAUCGUAAUUAGAAUGACAGGGCUAGUGGUGCAGUUGAUGCUGUCGAAAAUUUUAAACGAAAAUAUAAAAAGUUACAUGAAUUGAAUCAACAGAUACAUGAUAGAAAACUGAUAUGCUUUAACUGUAAUUAGGAGGAGGGCCACAUCCGAAGGAAAUUCUCCAAAAUUUGGUCGGAUGAGGCGAAGCCGGGGCCGGAGAAGGCGGUAGGAACAGUAAGAAAAGGGAGGGAGAUGAAGACGUCCCCCUAACUAUGGUCGACACGAAACAGCUGAUUACCAAGGAAAAGAAAAUCGAAACUGGGGGAAACACAAAAAGCGUAAGGGCAGUGGUUGACACAGGCGGUGGCAGCCCUCGUUACAAUAUAUACGGAGAAGUCAUCAAACAAAUCAGCAAUAACGACUUUGUCAACAAAGAUUUAAUUCGAUUCAGCAACAUGGAAUUUGCUGAAUGCUCCAUCGUCAAGGAUUUUCAGAAGAUUUAUGUGGAAAAGAAACAAAAAAAGUCAGUUUUUAUGAUUUUAUUAAAACGGACUUUACAAAAAAGCUGAGCAAACUGCUCACUAUCAACCAGGUUUGUUGAUGAGAACAAUAGUUUUUAUGGCUCAAGACUUCGUAGGCAGCAACAACGUUAAUUUGCUCAUCCCCAAUGGCCAAUUUGGAACUUGGCAUCAGGGAGGUAAAGAUGCUGCUAGUUAUCGUUUAUCUCUAGAAAUAUGAGCAACUUAACACACCGGAUCUUUCACCCACACUAUGCCUUACCGCGCGCACAAAAUAAGGCAUGCGAAUUAAAAAUGAAAUUAAAAAAUUCUAACUCAUGAACGGAUCACGGGAAAAGUUUCAUUGUUUGAUGGGGUUUUCUACACAGGAAAAAUUUAGUGCCGAUGCAAGAGCGUGGAUUUGAUCUGCUGACCAUUAAAAAAAUUUCGCGAAUCAAUUAAGAUUCAUUCUCGAAGUGUGCGACAAAGUCUUCUACUUCAACUUCAAAGAGACUAAUGUUUUUAUGGAGAAGAUGUGUCUAUUUACUUAUUAUUAACAUCUUUGCCGGAACCUUUUUUUUAAUAAAAAAAAAGAUUCCAUCAAAUGAUGCGUAAUUUUUCAUCUUUUUCCAGUUGCUGAUUGUCAAUAGUGUCUCGUCUCUCGUGUCCUUUUUUGCACGGAAGACGUGACCACCACUACAAGAGAAGCAAACAGGGACUGAGCCUGAGAGGGCGCGAGGCUCGCGCCCUCUCAGCAGACAACGAGAUCUAUCUUGAAAUACAGCCUAAACUGGGAAAAAAGAAGAUAAAACAAUCUAAACGCCAGGUUGCAGAAGGUUGCUGGAUGACAUGGACUGUGACUCAUUCGAAGCAAUAGAAAAAUCUGCAGAUGGAGCUGAAUCAGAAAAAUCUUCAGCUGGUUCAACUUCAAAUGUUAGUUCUAGCUCAUCGACAGAUCUAGCCUGUUAUCCAGCACGUUCUGAAAAAAUGGCAUCAAUAAACAGAGCUGUCCUUCUUUUUAUAGUUCGUGGAAUGCACCCACUCUCUAUGGUAGACAACAGCCAUUUUAUCAAUCUCGUCAAAGUGUUGGAUCCUCGCAUCGAAUUACCA